rnacentral:rRNA from 1 species
GUGAACCAGUACCGUGAGGGAAAGGCGAAAAGAACCCCGGCGAGGGGAGUGAAAAAGAACCUGAAACCGUGUACGUACAAGCAGUGGGAGCCUCUUUAUGGGGUGACUGCGUACCUUUUGUAUAAUGGGUCAGCGACUUAUAUUCUGUAGCAAGGUUAACCGAAUAGGGGAGCCGAAGGGAAACCGAGUCUUAACUGGGCGUUAAGUUGCAGGGUAUAGACCCGAAACCCGGUGAUCUAGCCAUGGGCAGGUUGAAGGUUGGGUAACACUAACUGGAGGACCGAACCGACUAAUGUUGAAAAAUUAGCGGAUGACUUGUGGCUGGGGGUGAAAGGCCAAUCAAACCGGGAGAUAGCUGGUUCUCCCCGAAAGCUAUUUAGGUAGCGCCUCGUGAAUUCAUCUCCGGGGGUAGAGCACUGUUUCGGCAAGGGGGUCAUCCCGACUUACCAACCCGAUGCAAACUGCGAAUACCGGAGAAUGUUAUCACGGGAGACACACGGCGGGUGCUAACGUCCGUCGUGAAGAGGGAAACAACCCAGACCGCCAGCUAAGGUCCCAAAGUCAUGGUUAAGUGGGAAACGAUGUGGGAAGGCCCAGACAGCCAGGAUGUUGGCUUAGAAGCAGCCAUCAUUUAAAGAAAGCGUAAUAGCUCACUGGUCGAGUCGGCCUGCGCGGAAGAUGUAACGGGGCUAAACCAUGCACCGAAGCUGCGGCAGCGACACUAUGUGUUGUUGGGUAGGGGAGCGUUCUGUAAGCCUGUGAAGGUGUACUGUGAGGUAUGCUGGAGGUAUCAGAAGUGCGAAUGCUGACAUAAGUAACGAUAAAGCGGGUGAAAAGCCCGCUCGCCGGAAGACCAAGGGUUCCUGUCCAACGUUAAUCGGGGCAGGGUGAGUCGACCCCUAAGGCGAGGCCGAAAGGCGUAGUCGAUGGGAAACAGGUUAAUAUUCCUGUACUUGGUGUUACUGCGAAGGGGGGACGGAGAAGGCUAUGUUGGCCGGGCGACGGUUGUCCCGGUUUAAGCGUGUAGGCUGGUUUUCCAGGCAAAUCCGGAAAAUCAAGGCUGAGGCGUGAUGACGAGGCACUACGGUGCUGAAGCAACAAAUGCCCUGCUUCCAGGAAAAGCCUCUAAGCAUCAGGUAACAUCAAAUCGUACCCCAAACCGACACAGGUGGUCAGGUAGAGAAUACCAAGGCGCUUGAGAGAACUCGGGUGAAGGAACUAGGCAAAAUGGUGCCGUAACUUCGGGAGAAGGCACGCUGAUAUGUAGGUGAAGUCCCUUGCGGAUGGAGCUGAAAUCAGUCGAAGAUACCAGCUGGCUGCAACUGUUUAUUAAAAACACAGCACUGUGCAAACACGAAAGUGGACGUAUACGGUGUGACGCCUGCCCGGUGCCGGAAGGUUAAUUGAUGGGGUUAGCGGUAACGCGAAGCUCUUGAUCGAAGCCCCGGUAAACGGCGGCCGUAACUAUAACGGUCCUAAGGUAGCGAAAUUCCUUGUCGGGUAAGUUCCGACCUGCACGAAUGGCGUAAUGAUGGCCAGGCUGUCUCCACCCGAGACUCAGUGAAAUUGAACUCGCUGUGAAGAUGCAGUGUACCCGCGGCAAGACGGAAAGACCCCGUGAACCUUUACUAUAGCUUGACACUGAACAUUGAGCCUUGAUGUGUAGGAUAGGUGGGAGGCUUUGAAGUGUGGACGCCAGUCUGCAUGGAGCCGACCUUGAAAUACCACCCUUUAAUGUUUGAUGUUCUAACGUUGGCCCCUGAUCGGGGUUGCGGACAGUGUCUGGUGGGUAGUUUGACUGGGGCGGUCUCCUCCUAAAGAGUAACGGAGGAGCACGAAGGUUGGCUAAUCCUGGUCGGACAUCAGGAGGUUAGUGCAAUGGCAUAAGCCAGCUUGACUGCGAGCGUGACGGCGCGAGCAGGUGCGAAAGCAGGUCAUAGUGAUCCGGUGGUUCUGAAUGGAAGGGCCAUCGCUCAACGGAUAAAAGGUACUCCGGGGAUAACAGGCUGAUACCGCCCAAGAGUUCAUAUCGACGGCGGUGUUUGGCACCUCGAUGUCGGCUCAUCACAUCCUGGGGCUGAAGUAGGUCCCAAGGGUAUGGCUGUUCGCCAUUUAAAGUGGUACGCGAGCUGGGUUUAGAACGUCGUGAGACAGUUCGGUCCCUAUCUGCCGUGGGCGCUGGAGAACUGAGGGGGGCUGCUCCUAGUACGAGAGGACCGGAGUGGACGCAUCACUGGUGUUCGGGUUGUCAUGCCAAUGGCACUGCCCGGUAGCUAAAUGCGGAAGAGAUAAGUGCUGAAAGCAUCUAAGCACGAAACUUGCCCCGAGAUGAGUUCUCCCUGACUCCUUGAGAGUCCUGAAGGAACGUUGAAGACGACGACGUUGAUAGGCCGGGUGUGUAAGCGCAGCGAUGCGUUGAGCUAACCGGUACUAAUGAACCGUGAGG